AUCCAAUUGACGAGUCCCAAACAGGACGAAAUGCGCGUUAUCCUGGAU
rnacentral:hammerhead_ribozyme from 1 species